CCUACGGGUGGCAGCAGUGGGGAAUAUUGCACAAUGGGGGAAACCCUGAUGCAGCGACGCCGCGUGAGUGAAGAAGUAUUUCGGUAUGUAAAGCUCUAUCAGCAGGGAAGAAAAUGACGGUACCUGACUAAGAAGCCCCGGCUAACUACGUGCCAGCAGCCGCGGUAAUACGUAGGGGGCAAGCGUUAUCCGGAUUUACUGGGUGUAAGGGGAGCGUAGACGGCAGCGCAAGUCUGAAGUGAAAUCCCUUGGCUUAACCAUGGAACUGCUUUGGAAACUGUGCAGCUGGAGUGCAGGAGAGGUAAGCGGAAUUCCUGGUGUAGCGGUGAAAUGCGUAGAUAUGAGGAGGAACACCAGUGGCGAAGGCGGCUUACUGGACUGUAACUGACGUUGAGGCUCGAAAGCGUGGGGAGCAAACAGGAUUAGAUACCCCAGUAGUC
rnacentral:rRNA from 1 species